UCUGGUGGCACCAAAAAUGGAAGUUGCAUUGUGGUAGAAGAAAUGGUUUGUGGUUUAUUUAAUACAACAGUGGUCAUGUCUGUGGCUGGGGUACAAGGCAAAUUUGAGUCAAAACCAAUUUUACAUAUUUUUGAGAGUGGGUCUCAGAUAUGCUCACACACACAGAAUAAGACGCAUAUAUAUGUUCCUUCCUGAAUUUAUUUUGUCUGCAAGACAGAGGCUGUCAAGAGGUUUUGACUUACAUGAAAAUACAAUCAGCAUAUCAAAACAUAUUUGUGUUUAGACUAUUAAGAUGGAUUUAUAACAAGAACAUGUUUAUAAAAUAUUCUUUUCAAAGGAAAGUGGUUCUUGACAGGUCCUUAAAACUUUUUUGCACAUUACUCUUCAAAUGAUGGUAACGGGAAAAUUCAUGAGACAAGCAAAUGCCUUUUCUUCCUUAAGUGGUGAAAUCUACUAGAAAAUUUCAUCAACAUGAAGAAAACCCUGACCAUUUCCAGAAGAAGUGCUGAAACAGAGCUUACAUUUUCAUCUUGUAAAGCUGUCUAAAAGCUCUCAGUAUUAGGUAGUACUACAGAUCUGCAGCUCAAGCUGAAAAGAUUGGCACAAGAAUAUAGGACAAAAGCUUUUUAUUUUCCUUUUUGGAAUAAUUUUCGGUGCUACAAAGGAAAGAACAUUCUCCCUUCUUAGUUUCUUUAAUUUAUUUUUUUUCUAUACAAGGAACAAGAUACAACAUUCAGUUCAGGUCUGUUUCUUACAAGAAAUGAGAGAGUAUGCAAGUUAUGUUAAUGUAUCCACCUGAAGGUCAUGGAAUCUGUGAUUACAAGGAUCUGCAAUGCUGAGUCUUAAAAGAAAUUGCUUGAUUCUUCAUCACAGUCCUACUAUACUGAAUUACUACAGAAUUAUGAUGUAUCCGGUUUUUCACCUAACCAAACAUAUUCAUUCUGCUUUUAAAUUUUACUUCUUUUAACAUUCAUGAAGAAGUCAGGGAACCUUAACAGAUGUGAGACUUUAAAGACCUUCUUUAAACAUACCUGCUUCUUAGUUUGGGGGUGUUCAGAGGGCUGUAUCAUAAGAAGAGGUUCUCUACCAGUUCACAUGAGGUUAUUCAUCCCCUGGCCCUUUCUGUCAGUGUGACAAACCACAUGGAGAAUGCCCCUGGUGGCUCACACUGAGUCUUGUGGGUGGUUAAAUGUGUGGGAGUUAUGCUCUUUCAUUCUGAAGUACCUCCAGGAGAAAUCACCCUCAAAUUUAUGCUGCUAUUUUUGUGUGACUUGUUUGCAGUAGAAAAAGGAGUUUACCGUGUACUUUUGUGCUCUACUGCAGACAUAAAAGGAAGCAUCAAACUUCCACUGCUUAUUGCCAAACUGAAUAGAGAUAUCAAGGGGGAAGUCCAAGGUGGUUUUUUUCCCUCCCUUCAAAGUCAUUACUUCAUAAAGAAAAUCGCCUUUAGAGAGACAGCCAGUGAUUUACCCAAGGCUGAAAGCACUAUCUUUCCCCAGUGGGCUCACAGCAAACUCCCAAAAACAGAUGUGAUUUUGUAGGAUGCUCUGCAGUGCCAGGUGACUUGCCUUUGAACGGUUCAGGCUCCUGCUUUCUGGAGGCUCAACUUUCAAGAAACACAUGGCCCUUCCUACCCCUUUUCCAGAUUUGAUUCUACCAAGAGAAAAAGUCAUAGCAUUUGCUGUUCUAUACAGCAGAGUGUUUUAAAUGAAAACAUUAUGCCAAGGCCUGUUUAUGCAACUGUCUUGGAGCUAUAUAAUAUAAACAAAUAUGUAUUGUGGUAUCUUGAAACCUCAGCAGCUCUAAGCAGAUUCAGUCGUGCCAUCCCAGGUCAGGACCAGUGAUGCUCACCCUUGGCACACACAGAGAUGCAUGGGAGCAGUGUUACUCGUGGGUCUACGCCCGUGCCAGGCUGAAAUGGGUGACAAAACUUCCAGGGAGCACAGCAAGGCAACAUGAAACUCCAAAUGCCCCAUAAAACUUAUAUUAUCUAUGACCACAGGGCAACCACAGCAAUGGGAGAUAAGAACCAUUCCUAAAGCUAUGACUGUUCAUCCUGAUGGUUAAAUAAGAAAAGGGAGGAAAUUAUUAUACCCUUGGGGAAAGGCAGAAUGAAUCUGGGUUGCCAACGUGUAGGCACAGAAACCCUUUUGACUCCUGACAAGCAAAGCCAAGGAGCCAGUGCCUGCUAGGUGUGCAGGUGUAAAUGUGUAUUUAUUGCUCUGUUGACCCAGUUCUCAUCUGGUUCAUUAGCUUUUAUCACCUGGCACAGUAGCUUAAGCCAGCAGAGCAGGGACACAGACAGACAUUAGUGCCUGGGGAAGGAAAGAGGGAGGAUGGAGGUAACGUCUUAAACCAACACAGCUGGGAACAAGAGUUAGAGACCUAUGGUCCCUGACAGUCAUCCACCUUUGCAUGACAGAAAAUGGACUCUGGGUUUAAUGCUGCCACUUCUGAUCGCCAAAAUGCAGGCUGAAGGGCAGUGCUGGGAACAGAAAGCCUCAGGCAUUAGUCUUCUGUGGAUCUGCAAACAGAGAAGUUUACUGCUUCAGAAUAAUCCCCUGGUAGGAGACUGAGCCAAAAGGUCAGCUGUGGUGAAAGAGCUGAUGAAGCUGCCCUCGCAUCCUCCAGGACUGAAAGGACCUGUGGUCGAAGGCCAAGGAGCUCUUU